UGGGGGGUUGGGGCACCGUCCCCUGUCACACUCAAGGUAGGGUCGAUGGGGAGGUUGCGGCGCCACCCCGUCACGCACAGAGCAGGGCCCAUCAGGAGGUUGGGGAGCUCCCCCGUGUCACGCACAGAGUAGGGCCGAUAGGGGAGUUGGGG